UACGUAGGGGGCAAGCGUUGUCCGGAUUCAUUGGGCGUAAAGAGCUCGUAGGCGGUUCAGUAAGUCGGGUGUGAAAGCUCCGAGCUCAACUCGGAGAGGCCACCCGAUACUGCUGUGACUUGAGUCCAGUAGAGGAGCGUGGAAUUCCUGGUGUAGCGGUGAAAUGCGCAGAUAUCAGGAGGAACACCAGCAGCGAAGGCGGCGCUCUGGGCUGGAACUGACGCUGAGGAGCGAAAGCGCGGGUAGCAAACAGG
rnacentral:rRNA from 1 species